GGUCGUCCACCACCGGAGCUUUUGCCCUGUGCGCCGUCUCCUUCAUGACCUCGUCUGCGUGCACGACUGCUUUCUGGAGGGCCGCCACUGGGAUCCACGGGGUGCGCCUCCACCCCCCUGCAGCUCCAUCACGUGUGAUGGGCGCCGAUCUGCAGGCUUGAGCUUGAGCUCCUUGGCGUCCUUCCUCCAGUUGGUGGCCCAGCUCGCCGGCGUUCUGAGUACGGCCUCGGCUACAAACUCUGACGGAUAACUGUACCAUACCCAUUCCAGUGGGGAGCACUGACUUUUCAUGCUGCUGAAUGCUUUGCCAUGAUGGCAGCUGCUUUUGUUGCUCUUGUGGAGACCUUGAAGCUCCCAAAAUGCAAACACCAGGAGAUAGGGGUGUCAAACUGAAACAAAGAAGCCCAUGACCGGUCUCAUAAUUUUACCAAUAGUACCGCCAUCAGCCGCAAAGACGGCAAGCUCAAGCAGGCCAAUGAAGGUUGAGGUUUCGACUUCUACUGGAAUACAGUUCUUCUAAUCUCUAUACAGGGCUCAAGAAAUAGAAAGCGACUCGUGCUUCAAGUACCAAGAAAAUAAUUUCCUUGCAAGAUAAGACAAAUCUAUAAGCUUCUCCAUUUGUAACGCCAGCGCUAGCAUAAAUGUC